CCCUCCUCGUCCCUCCACGGGGAUCCCAGUGCCAGGCUUGUUUCAAUAAGUCCCCUUUAUUGUAUAGACACAGCGAGAGGGCUUUGAGCCAGCCCAUUCAGCCUGGGCUUCCCAUAGGAUUACAUAUCUAAAUAUAUGGAAGUAAAAGUGGCCCGGGCAGCCACCAGGGCCACUGUGUCUGAGUCUGAGUGUCCUGGUCGCAGAGAGCCCAGCUGAGAGGUCAGGCGUCGAGCGAGUAGGUGCCAUGGUGUGAGAUACCGUCAUGUCUGCCUGGUGAAGUGAGGGAGGGAGACGGGAGAGGAGAUGGAAUGGAAAAUGGCCCUGGCUGUUUGCACCAUGUGGAGAGGACACCUAGCCACUCUCCAUAUCCUCAGGGCUACUGGGGUCAAGACAUUAAAGCUAGGGGUGAGAUAGCUGUCCCUCUCUGACUGGAGCUCUUUGAUGACGUGAGGAAAGCCUUUGUGUGUGUGUAAUAGCCAGGAGGACCCGGAUAAACAGGCCCUUUCUGUCCACUAAAAGCCUUUGUUGUCUGGGCUGUGUGGAGAUGGAGGGGUGGAGGGUUAAGGCGUCCGCAUGCUGCCCAUCCGGAACAGUUCGUGCACAUAAUAUGGAAACAUUUUGUGCCGUUAUAGUCUUCGGCAAGUUUUUGUUUGACUGUUUGUGCAUACAAUAUUUUUUCUCGAGGCAAGACCGAAAUUCGGUUGCCGAKGUCUACGCUCCUUCGGCGGUGAUUGGUCAACUGUAGGGGGCGAAGAUUCAGCCCGGAACCCAUUGUGGAUUCAAAAUGGCAAAUGACAACAACUACAAUAGUUGGUGGGGGUUCUUGCAGAAACAUAACUGGCCAACUGAAUCAUUUGGAUUUGAAUUUGAAAGGACAGCAGGUGCAGGAACUUAACUGAAAAAUAAAAUGGACCCAAUUCAAUAGAUAUCAAUCAACAAAGAGGUAUACAGACGAGGAUUCAUACAAAGGUAUUUCUAUUGGUAUUGGUAUGUUAUGCAGAUCACAUUUACCAUCCUCCUCCCUUACCUCUUCAAUAUAAAUCCCAUAGGCCUCUACAUUAUGAACAAGGCCCUGACACCUAUAGCUGAUUUCAUGGAUGACCUAUCGCCAAAACUAUCACCAGCUGCAUGAGUUCGUGCAUGACUUCAAGAAGAGGACAUGGACCAAACGACUGGGAACACAGUGAAAUGAACAACUUGUUCUGUUGAUGUUCAGAUAUCUCAGGAGUCCAGCCUGGUCUCAUAGACUAGACGUAACAUAGUAAAUGUUAAUCCGGAACACUAAAAUGUGUACGUUAUGUCAGGUUUGGUUUGGUUACAUAAGACAGAUGGUUACUUAAGGCAAAAAAAAGAAAGCAGGGUGGUUGGUCGGGCAUAUUAACGCAAAC